UGGGGAAUUUUGGACAAUGGGGGCAACCCUGAUCCAGCCAUCCCGCGUGUGCGAUGAAGGCCUUCGGGUUGUAAAGCACUUUUGGCAGGGAAGAAACAGCCUGGGCUAAUAUCCCGGGCGACUGACGGUACCUGCAGAAUAAGCACCGGCUAACUACGUGCCAGCAGCCGCGGUAAUACGUAGGGUGCAAGCGUUAAUCGGAAUUACUGGGCGUAAAGCGUGCGCAGGCGGUUCGGAAAGAAAGGUGUGAAAUCCCAGGGCUUAACCUUGGAACUGCACUUUUAACUACCGGGCUAGAGUACGUCAGAGGGGGGUAGAAUUCCACGUGUAGCAGUGAAAUGCGUAGAGAUGUGGAGGAAGACCGAUGACGAAGGCAGCCCCCUGGGAUGAUACUGACGCUCAUGCACGAAAGCGUGGGGA
rnacentral:rRNA from 1 species